ACAUUAUAAGAUAAAGUAAAUGAUAAUAAUUUGGUGAUUUUUCUUUGAAAAUAAAAUAAAUUAUAAAAGUUCUAUGAUAUUUUAUUUUUUACAAUAUAAAGAAAAUGAUAAUAAUCACUUUGUGAUCACUUCAUCAUCUUCAUCUUCUCUGAUUUUUUUCUGAAAGUCUCUUUCAUUUGUCCUUCAUCUGACGUCUCUCCCUCUCCCAUGUCCUUUAUCGGACAUCCUCUUUCUUCUUCCUCUCACUAUUUUGCUUAUUUUAUAAUUCUUUUCAUUUCUGUGUUCUUCAAUUCUUUUUUUUCUUAUCUUUUUCUCUCUUUGAAUAAUUUCAUUGAUCUUUUGUUUACUUGAUUCAAAUACAUAAAAUCUUCGAUGUUUAUUUUUUUUAAAUUUCGCCGAAAUCCAAAGGUUAUAGAAAUCCAAAGGUGAUUCCAUUGACAAUAAAGACAAAGUGGAUCUAAGAGAAGUUCCCAAGAAUAAGAACAAAGAAGAGUAGCAUAGAACAAGUUACAAAGAAGGAAGAAGAAGAAGAGACUUGAGGCGCAAGAAACGGAAGAGUGAAGAAGAUUACUCUCUUCUCUCUCUACAAGAACAAGAAAAGAAACGAGGGAGUAAAGAGACUGUGUGUGCUUGUGUAAUAAUGAAACACAAGACAAAACAGAGUGAGUGUGAGAACAAAAACAGAGAGUGAGUGAACAAGAGAAACACAGUGAGCCGUACAACUAGAGUUAAGAAGAAUGCUUUCACAUCUCUGUUUAUAAGACAUUAUAAAUGUGUACUGUAUUUUUUUAUAAGGCAAUAUAAUGUAUUUUAUAGAAGUUUCACAUCACAAUGUAAGGAUUCAUCGAGGAAGAAGGUGAGAGAGAAUAGCUAUUUCUGGUUUGGUAUUCAUGACGACGCACUACAAAGAUAAGGACCAGGAUCACGGCUAUAAGUGAUUCAACGUCGACAAAGUGAAGAGCAGUAAGCCAGUGCUUCAUUGUGAGGAGAGAAUGAAUUUUUUUUUUUUUGCUCUGGUUUGUUCUUCGUUGGUCACUAGAGGAAGAGAACAUCUAUGAAAGAAAAGGGAGAACAUAUAGAGUUAAGAAGAAUGCAGCUAAAACGAAGAACUUAGCCUCGUGUUAUAAAGAUACAAAGUUUCUUCUUCAAGAGGUUAUGACCAGAAAGGCCUGAAACCAGUUCAUUUUACUCUGAUUUACCUGCUACUGAAGAUCAUUCAUUCAUGGUGUUGUAUAAAUGCUUGUUUUAAGCUACUUGGACCAGUUUAUUUUCCAACCCUUAUAUAUAGUUUCUACACAUAUGAAUGAAUGAGAGUAUACACAUUGACAUAAGUUACAAGAACAUGUACAUGAAUAAAAAGAACCCACAGAUUCAGAGUAAUUCCACAAAAUUCAUCCUGAGUAGCGGAAACAGUUUCUUGAUCACUUGAAUGACUACUCUCCAUUGCAACUAUAUAGCAAAAUAAAAACACCAGUCAGAGAUUAUCUUAGAUAACAUAGAAGAAUUAAACUUUAUUUUAAUGGAGAUUCUAAGGAAUUGAUGUCUUAAAACAUAUUAAUUUAAUGCCAAUCAUCAAGUUUUAUCAUAUAUCACGACCUGGCCUUAUUUCAAUCAUAAACCACAUCGAUUUAAUGCCUUCCCACGACCAUAAUGUGUACAAGAGCAAUGUAUUCCUAAAAAGUAAGAGAAUCAUCAGCUACAAUUUAGUAUAUUAGUUCCAAUUUGUCAACCUAGUAUGCUUAGUUAUUUUUCUUUUCAAAGCUUAAUAGUUAAAUAAGUUUGAAUAAUGCUUAACUCCAAUUUUUUUAACAAACACACUUGCAGUAAGCUACAAAGCAUCCGUGACCUCCUCUAUUCCUUUUUUUUCUCCUAUUGCCAUGAUCAUACAUACAUGUGAUUAAAAAAGAUCUAACAACUCUAAGCUUAAAACUAUAUGAUCCUGAGAUAUAUAACAAACAAUAACUAUACUUGAGGUUAAUUAUGUUGUUUUAGAGAAUUGACCUAAUCUAAAAACAUCAAUUCUUAAAUUUGAAUAAGGAUAAAAAGAGUAACGCGACGUACCGUUCAAAACACAGAUAUCGAACCUUUGUUUGAAAACUACAAUCUGUGUUUUUUUAGGGACUGAGAACAAGCCUUUGAGUUUGAAGAAGCAGCAGCCGACGAAGUGUUUUGAUGAACGUCGUUAAGUCUUCCUUUUUUUUAAAGCUAUUUUCCUUUUUUCUAGGUUUUAAUAUAUUUUUUUGACUAUUCAUACAUGGCAAUUUGAUUGGUAAUCAAUAGUGAGGUGAAUUUAGAGGAUUCACCAUAGGGGUGAACCCAAGUUAUGUGUUCGGAUAAGAGAGAGCUAGGAAACAAGUAGGACCACUUGUCUGAUUUAAAGUUUUGGAAAUCACCACUUGCAUGCCUCGAAGAUUGUUUUUCAGACAUGCACACUGACAACUGAUACAACUACACGAAAGGAAUGGAUUAUGAUGUAGGGUUAAAAUCGUCAUACGAUUUAGUUCUAUCAACUCAAGUGCAAUUGGCUAAUUAGGACAUUGAUUAUGGGCAUAGAAGCCAAUUAUCUCUUAAAUGAAACAUAAUAAAAUAUAAAUAUUUAAUAUUUAGUGUGAUAAAUAGUGUUACUCUACCUUAAAUUUGGUGGGAUAGUGUGUGGAGAUAAAAUCACAUCAAAUUUGGUGUUUUGCUGUGUACCAUGGGAGUUGGCCUUAGCAGUUAGUUAAUGACCGAUUGCUUUCCUCACAUGCUCUCUUUCUCUCCUCUCUGGAAAUAAUAAGCCUAUAGCUCGAUCCCAUCUUACGGCAAAACUUUGACUUUCUCGGAAACAGCAUGCCGUUUUCUCGAAAAUUUAUUUGAAUUCCCAUAAACUCGGAAUCAGCUUCUGGGUCAGUCUUGAGUCGGAAAAGAUGGAUAACAAAAUUAUCUCCAUGAUGAAGGACAGCAAAGAUGGGUCCAAGAGCAAGAGAAUGAAUCGUUCACAGAGAAAACUGCUUGCCGACGAAGAGAUGUUGCAUCGACGAGCUCUGUCCAUGGCGAUUCAUCAAGCUCAGCUUUCUCAGAUAUUCGACGGAUCCAUGUCUAGACGGGCCGGGUCUACAAGCACCAGGAAACAACGGACACUCUCUGACCCGUUUUCUAAUGGCAAGCAGAAAAGGCCAUUACAAAAGUGGAGAAGAGGAGAUUUUUUCCGUAAAAGUUAGAAAACAGAAGCUGACUUAUCUGUUGGAGACAUUUGGAAGGCUGUUCGUUGCUUCAACCUUGAGGACAAGGUUGAUUUCAAAGGGGCGGUAAUGAUAAGUACGAGGGGAUGAGGUGGCAUUCACGUGAGCAACGCACAUGAGCACAUAACGUUUCACAUGGGGAGGAUGCUGAGCUGGCUUCUCUCCAACUUGCUGCUUGCCCUUUCUAUUUAAGCUGUUGUUUUCUAGAGAGAAAAGGGAUCAGAGAGUUGGAGUGAAUAAUCAGAAGAGAGGAUGCAGAGAGAUCUGAGAGAGAUGGAUUUGUAAUCGGUUUCUCUUGUAAAACAGUCUUUCUAUUCAAUAAAACAGUAUUUCCUCUUUGAUUAUCAGCUUGGUUUACGUUUGAGAUCCUACUCGUAACAACAUGGCUUACUCGUAGAGAAUCUAAAAGACGACGAAGUUGUAGAAGAAGAAGGAUUUAAGAAUCCUGAUACAUUGAAUCGGCGAAGCCACUGACAUCUUUAUUUCGUUAAUGGGUUUCUUUAUUUGAAGCAGCUGUUGUGUAUAGUCUAUGGUAAUCUCUGUGUGGCUGAGACAUGGCCAAGUCUCAGCUUUUGGUUAACGGUACCUUUGGAAAUAAUCCCACGCGCGUGAACGUAACUAGGCACUAUUACUUGAACAAAAUGAUUAUGACUGGAAUACAUUAUACUACAUGGAAACUAAAGAAUUAACACUUGAAAUCCUUUUUUGUUGAACCUUUUUUGUUGAAUUUUCAACUCCAAAAGUUGUGGUGUGGAUUUUUUUAUCAUUACAGGACAGAGGGUUCCAUAGACAGAUGAUGUUACAUUGAAUAAUCUCACUAUAACACAGCACAAAUUGGACAAAUCAUUAAGUGGCUACAAAAGGUACACAUCCAAUAAGUUCCUCUUCUUAUCCAAAACUCUUUCUCCAUAUAUAUAUAUGUCAAAGGUGCACAAGAACUUGGCCAGAAACAGAGCGCAUCUAUCUCAACAUUCAACAAUAUGAGCUGCGCCAAUGAAAGCCCUUUUGUGUCUGAAAACAUGCCUUUAGCUUCUUCUUGAUCGAAGAUCUGGUCACAUGAUUGUGCACAUACAGCUUUUUCUAUUUCCAUGAUGCAACUCAUCAUCCAACUCAUCCACUUCACUGCAUAUUCAUUCAGAGCAAAAUAGAACCUUAAGAGGAGCAACGUUGGUACUUGGUAUGACAAGUGGAAAAGAAAAUAAAGACAAAACGUGAAUGAUAGAUAACAAGUACAACACAGCUUCUUAAGAACAAAGAAAACUGUUGUGUAUAAACAUCACCAGUCUACAUAAGGGAAACUAAGAGUAGCAUGUAUUCAAAGAAUGAACGAGUUCAAUAUAUAUUUUUAUUCCAUUGAA